AGUGAACGCUGGCGGUAGGCCUAACACAUGCAAGUCGAACGGCAGCACAGUAAGAGCUUGCUCUUACGGGUGGCGAGUGGCGGACGGGUGAGGAAUACAUCGGAAUCUACUUUUUCGUGGGGGAUAACGUAGGGAAACUUACGCUAAUACCGCAUACGACCUACGGGUGAAAGCAGGGGAUCUUCGGACCUUGCGCGAGUGAAUGAGCCGAUGUCGGAUUGGCUAGUUGGCGGGGUAAAGGCCCACCAAGGCGACGAUCCGUAGCUGGUCUGAGAGGAUGAUCAGCCACACUGGAACUGAGACACGGUCCAGACUCCUACGGGAGGCAGCAGUGGGGAAUAUUGGACAAUGGGCGAAAGCCUGAUCCAGCCAUACCGCGUGGGUGAUGAAGGCCUUCGGGUUGUAAAGCCCUUUUGUUGGGAAAGAAAAGCAGCAGGUUAAUACGCCGCUGUUCUGACGGUACCCAAAGAAUAAGCACCGGCUAACUUCGUG
rnacentral:rRNA from 1 species